GGAGGACCUGGCCAGGGGUGGCCCAGCCCGGGGACCCUUAGCCCUCCUAGGACGGCGGGGCGCCCGCGCUCCGGGACGCGGCUGCAGCUUUUCGCCAAAGGGUUUCACCACUUCUGAAUAAUGCCACAGUCUUGGGACCAGAUCUUCAACACAUGGGCCUCCGGGAGAUAGCCAAGAUCUAAACUGUAAUAGACGUGUAAAUAAAAGCCACCAUACAAUAGUAAUUUCACAAACUCUCACUUCCAGAAUGUAUGCGUGAGUAGCUCUGUGGAUCCACUCUCCAGUGGAUCAGAACUGGUGAAAAUUUUACAAAAUUACUACAACUAUUUACAGUCUCUGGAAAUUAUCCUAGGGAUAUACAGCAAAUGAAGAAAUGUUUAUCCACGAAAAUCUAAAGCUCGGUAAGAUCAGCAUAGCAUUUGAGGCAUAUCCUGCUUUUUCUUCCCUCAACCCUGGAUCAGCAUGACAGAUGCUCCACUCCAGGCAACUGUGGCCAAAAACUCAUGGCUCCUGAUCUCAUUCCCAGUCUAGGACUACAGUGUCUCCCUGGUGGGCCAGGUUGCCAGCAUUUCUCAUCCCCUUCCCCUGCUCCAUGUUGCAGAAGCGAAGUCCCAGGAGAGCGAAGGCAAGUAGUCAAGGACUCCAUUCACUAACCCAUCCUUGACUCACAGUGGAGGCUCAACACCAGUUGUGGAGUCAUUCAGAGAAACAGGAAAUUGGGAUCCAUAUAUGGAAGUCCAGGGGAGGUAACAGAAAUUACCUUUGAGAAGUCCCUGAUGUCAGACUAAAAGUCUUUGGAGGAGCCAGUAUAAAUAUUUUCAAAUAACUAAAAAAAACAUGGUUAAUGAAAUAAAGGAAGGCAUGUUGACAAUGUUUCAUCAAAUAGAGAAUAUCAAUAAAGAGACAGAAAUUACAAAAAAAAAAAAAAACCAGGGAAUUUCUGGAGUAUAAUGCAAUAGCAAAAAGUACAACGCAAAAAUCAAUAGGGAGGCUCAAUAGUGGAAGUUAAACUGGAAGAAGAAAAGAAAAUUAAAUGUAAAGAUAGAUCAAUAGAGAUGAUGCAAUUCAAUGAAUAUUUUAAAAACCUGAAGGAAGAUAAUGGAACAGAUACAGGCAAAAUGUCAUGUGGACAUGAAGACAGCCAUCCACAAGUCAAGGAAAAAGAUCUGGAACAAAUUCAUCCCUCACAACCCUCAAAAGGAAUCAGUCCUACUAACCCUUCAAUUCCUAACUUCUGUCCUCUACAACUCCAGAGGAAUUGAAGAGACACAGACUCAGUGCAUCAGGAUCAAUCCUUUGCUUUAAGACAAAACCUUAUUUUAUAUAUAAAAUCAUUUCUUAUUUAAAAAUGUUCUCCUUCUCCUCCUCUCCUAUGUACUGGUUCCUUUCUACCUUGUUUUUUUUUAAACCCAAACUCCACUUAUGA